UUAGGUCCUAUUCCACCACUUCCUGGAACUUGACUCCCACUGGCUGGACCGUAACCUCCUCCAAAGCCACCUAACUCAAAGGUACGAGACCUGUUCCAGCACCUUGACCUCUGUUGGCCCCAGUUCCUUGGGUUCCAAAUGCUCCAGCUGUGCCCCCUGCCCCAAAGCCUCCAUACCCUAAUUAAGAGUAGAGGACAUGUGUUUUAUUUUCAGAGCAGCUCCGCAAGGGUUCUUUAGACUCAGGCAGAUGUAUGUAGACCAUUCCUGAUUUAGGGUCGCCCACUGAAACAUGUUUACUCAGCAGAGGGCUUUAUCAGUAAAACGUCUUACCUGACUUCCCAGGUUUGACACCAGCACCUGUGAGUGGACAACACAUAAUCUCAUUAGUUUGCAAAUAUAUAGACGACAUAGUGCAAUAUAUCUGUCAUCUACAUUAUUAUUAACAUGCCUGUGCCUUGACCUCCUGGACCAAAACCAGCAGCUGGCGCUCCGCCAGGCCCAGUUCCAUAGCCGCCAAUACCACCUGGCACAGCUCCACCUAGACCAGUUCCCUGUCCUGUACCGAAGCCUUGACCACCAUAGGCACCACCUUCAAUUGGAAUGAUCAAAGGGAUAUAUACGUUGAUUGAAUACAUGGUAUGGUAUUUCAAUUUAUUGUAAACAAGCUGGACCAGAUAGUCUUACCUGUUUUCGGAGGCUUGACACCUGUCGAAAUAUGACCAAUUAAAAUAGAAUUAUACUGUAUACAAGAAGCAUAUUCUAUUAGAUUAAAUUCUAUCAUACCAGCACCAAAUCCUCCAGGUCCACCACUGCCUGGACCAUAGGUGCCAGGCCUGAAACCUCCGGGUGCCUGACCACCGAAGCCACCUGAGGGGGCCGGCUCCUCCUGCUCCAGGACCAAAUCCUGUACCGGCACCACCUGGUCCAAAUCCAGUUCCUGCACCACCUGGUCCAAAUCCAGUUCCUGCACCACCCGGUCCAAAUCCAGUUCCUGCUCCACCCUGGCCGAAUCCAGUUGCAGCACUCGCACCUUUUCCAACUGCUCCCCCAGCAGAGAGUGAGAACUGAUCCCAGCAAAGUCGGACCCACCUCCUUGCAGCGCCGGCCUCCACAGGGCGAGUAGGACGACCCCCCGGAGCAAAGUCUGGGAACGCCUCGGGAUCCCCCGGGAGGAGCUGGACAAAGUGGCUGGGGAGAGGAAAGUCUGGGCUUCCCUGCUUAGGCUGCUGCCCCCACGACCUGACCUCGGAUAAGCGGAAAAUGAUGGAUGGAUGGAUUA